GCGGGCGUAGCUCAGGGGUAGAGCACAACCUUGCCAAGGUUGGGGUCGAGAGUUCGGAUCUCUUCGCCCGCUCCA
rnacentral:tRNA from 1 species